GGGUUGUGAGGUUAAGCGACUAAGCGUACACGGUGGAUGCCCUGGCAGUCAGAGGCGAUGAAGGACGUGCUAAUCUGCGAUAAGCGUCGGUAAGGUGAUAUGAACCGUUAUAACCGGCGAUUUCCGAAUGGGGAAACCCAGUGUGAUUCGUCACACUAUCAUUAACUGAAUCCAUAGGUUAAUGAGGCGAACCGGGGGAACUGAAACAUCUAAGUACCCCGAGGAAAAGAAAUCAACCGAGAUUCCCCCAGUAGCGGCGAGCGAACGGGGAGCAGCCCAGAGCCUGAAUCAGUGUGUGUGUUAGUGGAAGCGUCUGGAAAGGCGCGCGAUACAGGGUGACAGCCCCGUACACAAAAAUGCACAUGCUGUGAGCUCGAUGAGUAGGGCGGGACACGUGGUAUCCUGUCUGAAUAUGGGGGGACCAUCCUCCAAGGCUAAAUACUCCUGACUGACCGAUAGUGAACCAGUACCGUGAGGGAAAGGCGAAAAGAACCCCGGCGAGGGGAGUGAAAAAGAACCUGAAACCGUGUACGUACAAGCAGUGGGAGCACGCUUAGGCGUGUGACUGCGUACCUUUUGUAUAAUGGGUCAGCGACUUAUAUUCUGUAGCAAGGUUAACCGAAUAGGGGAGCCGAAGGGAAACCGAGUCUUAACUGGGCGUUAAGUUGCAGGGUAUAGACCCGAAACCCGGUGAUCUAGCCAUGGGCAGGUUGAAGGUUGGGUAACACUAACUGGAGGACCGAACCGACUAAUGUUGAAAAAUUAGCGGAUGACUUGUGGCUGGGGGUGAAAGGCCAAUCAAACCGGGAGAUAGCUGGUUCUCCCCGAAAGCUAUUUAGGUAGCGCCUCGUGAAUUCAUCUCCGGGGGUAGAGCACUGUUUCGGCAAGGGGGUCAUCCCGACUUACCAACCCGAUGCAAACUGCGAAUACCGGAGAAUGUUAUCACGGGAGACACACGGCGGGUGCUAACGUCCGUCGUGAAGAGGGAAACAACCCAGACCGCCAGCUAAGGUCCCAAAGUCAUGGUUAAGUGGGAAACGAUGUGGGAAGGCCCAGACAGCCAGGAUGUUGGCUUAGAAGCAGCCAUCAUUUAAAGAAAGCGUAAUAGCUCACUGGUCGAGUCGGCCUGCGCGGAAGAUGUAACGGGGCUAAACCAUGCACCGAAGCUGCGGCAGCGACGCUUAUGCGUUGUUGGGUAGGGGAGCGUUCUGUAAGCCUGCGAAGGUGUGCUGUGAGGCAUGCUGGAGGUAUCAGAAGUGCGAAUGCUGACAUAAGUAACGAUAAAGCGGGUGAAAAGCCCGCUCGCCGGAAGACCAAGGGUUCCUGUCCAACGUUAAUCGGGGCAGGGUGAGUCGACCCCUAAGGCGAGGCCGAAAGGCGUAGUCGAUGGGAAACAGGUUAAUAUUCCUGUACUUGGUGUUACUGCGAAGGGGGGACGGAGAAGGCUAUGUUGGCCGGGCGACGGUUGUCCCGGUUUAAGCGUGUAGGCUGGUUUUCCAGGCAAAUCCGGAAAAUCAAGGCUGAGGCGUGAUGACGAGGCACUACGGUGCUGAAGCAACAAAUGCCCUGCUUCCAGGAAAAGCCUCUAAGCAUCAGGUAACAUCAAAUCGUACCCCAAACCGACACAGGUGGUCAGGUAGAGAAUACCAAGGCGCUUGAGAGAACUCGGGUGAAGGAACUAGGCAAAAUGGUGCCGUAACUUCGGGAGAAGGCACGCUGAUAUGUAGGUGAAGUCCCUCGCGGAUGGAGCUGAAAUCAGUCGAAGAUACCAGCUGGCUGCAACUGUUUAUUAAAAACACAGCACUGUGCAAACACGAAAGUGGACGUAUACGGUGUGACGCCUGCCCGGUGCCGGAAGGUUAAUUGAUGGGGUUAGCGCAAGCGAAGCUCUUGAUCGAAGCCCCGGUAAACGGCGGCCGUAACUAUAACGGUCCUAAGGUAGCGAAAUUCCUUGUCGGGUAAGUUCCGACCUGCACGAAUGGCGUAAUGAUGGCCAGGCUGUCUCCACCCGAGACUCAGUGAAAUUGAACUCGCUGUGAAGAUGCAGUGUACCCGCGGCAAGACGGAAAGACCCCGUGAACCUUUACUAUAGCUUGACACUGAACAUUGAGCCUUGAUGUGUAGGAUAGGUGGGAGGCUUUGAAGUGUGGACGCCAGUCUGCAUGGAGCCGACCUUGAAAUACCACCCUUUAAUGUUUGAUGUUCUAACGUGGACCCGUAAUCCGGGUUGCGGACAGUGUCUGGUGGGUAGUUUGACUGGGGCGGUCUCCUCCUAAAGAGUAACGGAGGAGCACGAAGGUUGGCUAAUCCUGGUCGGACAUCAGGAGGUUAGUGCAAUGGCAUAAGCCAGCUUGACUGCGAGCGUGACGGCGCGAGCAGGUGCGAAAGCAGGUCAUAGUGAUCCGGUGGUUCUGAAUGGAAGGGCCAUCGCUCAACGGAUAAAAGGUACUCCGGGGAUAACAGGCUGAUACCGCCCAAGAGUUCAUAUCGACGGCGGUGUUUGGCACCUCGAUGUCGGCUCAUCACAUCCUGGGGCUGAAGUAGGUCCCAAGGGUAUGGCUGUUCGCCAUUUAAAGUGGUACGCGAGCUGGGUUUAGAACGUCGUGAGACAGUUCGGUCCCUAUCUGCCGUGGGCGCUGGAGAACUGAGGGGGGCUGCUCCUAGUACGAGAGGACCGGAGUGGACGCAUCACUGGUGUUCGGGUUGUCAUGCCAAUGGCACUGCCCGGUAGCUAAAUGCGGAAGAGAUAAGUGCUGAAAGCAUCUAAGCACGAAACUUGCCCCGAGAUGAGUUCUCCCUGACUCCUUGAGAGUCCUGAAGGAACGUUGAAGACGACGACGUUGAUAGGCCGGGUGUGUAAGCGCAGCGAUGCGUUGAGCUAACCGGUACUAAUGAACCGUGAGGCUUAACCUUACAACGCCGAAGCUGUU
rnacentral:rRNA from 1 species